GAAAUAAUUAAUUAAAUAAUAAGCUUCUAACUUAAUUAUUAAAUGAUUAAAAUCAUUUUUAUUUCU
rnacentral:tRNA from 1 species